rnacentral:lncRNA from 1 species
CUCUCCCUCUCAUUUUACCAUUGAGGAAAAUAAGGCACAUGGGAGAUUAAUUGACUUGCCCAAAGUUUCUUAGGUAAGCAGUAGAGACAGAAUUUGAACCCAUGUCCUCUGACUCCAGAAUCAGUACUUUUUCCAUUGUACUCUGCUGCUUCAAGCCCUGCCUCUGAGAUAUACUCAGUGUGGCUCUGAGGACAACACUUACCUGCUCUCUGCCCCCAGCCAAUUCUAGAUUUUCAGCUGUUGAGCAGUUGUGUUGAUAGGAGGAGAUUGCUUGUUAGAAGUUCCCUCGACCCAGAUAAAGAACAAAAACAAAAACAAACCACUCUCUAAAUCAUUGACUGUGGUAAUAAUAUCUCAAUAUGGUUAGAGUUGCUGAAAUACUCAAAAUGAAUGACAAAGAACCAGUUGAUGGGUCUAGAGAUAAUUUUUAUGCUUAGCUAGAUAUUCAAAAGGUUAUAGAAUGAAAGCAGUUUAGCUGAAUGGGCAGCCCAGCAGGUCACUCUACUUCUGUCAAAACCCCGCCCUGAUCUUCAGCUGGGUAACAAGCUAUUCAUUUCCUAGUACUUUUUGGAAACUGCCAACUUUAAGACAUAAACAGGUUGAUCUAAGCUGGUGAUGUGUGUGGGUGAAGAUGGUGUGAAAGAAGACUUGACAGAGAAGCACAACAGAGGAUAUAAUUCGAUUUGUUCUUGUCCAGAACAGUUUAGAAAAAAAAUCUGGGAAGAGAAGAUAUGUAAACUAAAACAUCUAAUUACUUAA